rnacentral:rRNA from 1 species
UACGAAGGGGGCUAGCGUUGCUCGGAAUGACUGGGCGUAAAGGGCGCGUAGGCGGUUUAGACAGUCAGAUGUGAAAUUCCUGGGCUUAACCUGGGGGCUGCAUUUGAUACGUUUAGGCUUGAGUGAGGAAGAGGGUUGUGGAAUUCCCAGUGUAGAGGUGAAAUUCGUAGAUAUUGGGAAGAACACCGGUGGCGAAGGCGGCAACCUGGUCCUUGACUGACGCUGAGGCGCGAAAGCGUGGGGAGCAAACAGG